CUCGGCGCCCCUAACACCGCUCCCGGCGCCCCUUACACCGCUCCCGCCACCCGCGGGGCUCCGGCGGCUCCCGGGGCCGGCUGGGGUGAGGGGGCGAAAGGAGUGGGGACAAGACCCCCAGGCCACCCCCGCCCCGAGGUGACCGAGCUGGAGCCGCAGGCACUGGGACAGCCCGACGCUCCUCACGGUCCCUCAGCAGAGACCCGCUGAGGGGGAGACGGAUCCGCUGAGGGGGAGACGGAUCCGCUCAUGGGGGAGUGAGACUCGCUCAGGGGGAGUGGGAUCCCCUCAGGAGGGACCCCUCCACCACCGUCCCCGCACGCCGCGCUCCGCUCACCUCCCGGCGCCGCCUCUCUCCAGCCCGGCUCCUCCAGCUGCCGCUCGGCUCCAAGAGUGAGAUGUUACAAAAUCCUGCAUACAUCAGACGUCACAUGGAAUGAUAUUGGAUGCUAUUGUUGUACAGAACUGGACUAAACAACUCUCUCUACUUGGAAGCUCAUGGGUUCAAGGGCCUUGUUUCUGCUGCUGUACUCUGCAGUCUCUCCAGUUUGUUUACAUCUGUAUUUAAACGAAGAGCUCAACAGCUGACAACUGUCUACUUUACAGUAGUGGCAGCCGUAUUUAUAUUUACUGUGUUUUACCAUAAACAUUUCUACUUAUGCAAUGCAAAAUGGCAUUUUUAAAAACCGCUUUAUGCUGUUGGUUCUCCUUCUAUAGUUUUGUUGCCUAAUCUGAUAUUUACCCAGUUUGUGUGCUGAUACUUUGCUCUUUGACAAUGUCUUGUCAUUGAGUGCAUUUGCUGUGUUAUUUAAUUUCUACCCAUUUCUCUAAAUCAUCCAGUUCAUGUAAAGCCUGAUUUGGUCCUUCAGAAAUACUCCUCCUUAUCAUCUUUGGCUGAAGCAAGCUAAAGAGAAAAAUAUUUAGGCAAUAUUAUGAGAACUUCGGGUUUUGGUUAUUCCAGGAACUCCAGUGGGUCAGAGCUUCAUUUUCAUGUAUUUUUAUUUAAUUUCUCUUAUGGUCUCCUUAUUCUACUGGAACAUGGAUUAGUGAGCUGCUGGGAGAAAUGAGGAAAACUAUAAGGCACACUAAAAGUACUAAAAGUCAAUUUCCAUAUGCCUGCCAAAGUUUUACACCAGUAGAUAAGCUUAUUAGUACAUUUUAUAGCAGUGCCACUGUUUUAUUGCCAUUGAUUAGGUGUUGUGUCACCCUUGAUAUUUUAAUAACUAUUUAAUGUCAGAUGACUCAUUGUUUUCAGUCAUAUGUGAGGAAAAAUCGAAGAAGCACAUUUACUGAGAAUACUGUAUGUGUAUGCUACAGGGGGUGUUGUAGGAAUGGAAAAAGUGUAUGAAAGAACUUCCUGGAAUCUGGAAAGGGCAAAUGACAAUAUCACUUGUGAAUCUACCAGCGAGGAAGAGAAAAGCUGGUGCAGAGUUUGUAGUGAGUUUGGGUGAAAUGCCUCGUGGGAUUCCACUAUAGUCAUGAUUACAUACAUUAUUCAAAGGAAAUAAAUACAACUGUGAAAGCAGCUUCUCUGAUUAUGCUGGUCUCUUGCCUGGUAAGAGAAGUCAGGUGAAGUGUCUCAUUGUAUCUAAAGUCUUUAAAAUAAAUUAAUUCCCUGGCAACACACUAGCUGCACAUGCAUUUUAGAUUGAACUAUCACCCUUCUAUUGACAUAUUAGAACAAAUAAAAUUAUCUUAAAAAAUAGGAGUGUUUCGAUCUUGCAUUUUUGUUUGU